rnacentral:tRNA from 1 species
GAUGGUACAGCUCAAUGGUAGAGUAUGUGCUUAGGAUACAUGAGGCCCUGGGUUCCUUCCCAGUACUCCCC